GAUCAGCAUGUUCUGAAUUUCUAGGUACGCGUUUGCUUUUGACUAACACUCAGGUAAUUAACAAAGAAAAUUUCAUACAAAUAUCGUACAGUUUUGUACGUAAAAUACAUUUUGUCAUGAACAUUAUGAUGGAGUCAUAUUUUGUAUACCAAUUAUGUGGUAUUUUUUAUGCAUCAUAAGAUUUUCCUUAUGAUUUUCACUGCUUUCCACAUGUACUCAAAGACGGACUGAGUAAUGAACUCUUACUCGACUGUUCGUCUCUCGGCUGAGUCAUUGAAUUUUCGCUCACUUUGUGAUUGUGUUAGUGUAAAAGUCAGGUGACUUACGUCAUUUUAUCAAUCGUCAGCUAUAGAGAAUGGACGAUGUUGACACAGGUAGGCAUUUUUCGGGAAAAAACUGAAAAUUUACUAGUUCUAUAUAUCCGAAGAGCUUGAAAAUGUUUACAUCGUUUAUAUGUUUACAUGUUUACAUCGAAUUCAACUAAAAAUCUGUACGCAAACGUGCAACAUCGGAGAAGAAGAAGUAAACGAUUCGACAAUUCAGUUCACCUUUUCUCAUUCAAUUCCGACAGUUCGAGCCAAUCGGCGAAAUUCAUUCGGAAUCGAUUGUUGCACUGGAGUUAGAAUUUAUUCGUAAUUCAUUAUGAUUUCUAUAUGAAAUUCCGAAUGAAGAUUUGUCACCGAUUCGGAACUGAUAAUGUGGAAGGUCGUUCAUUCAAACUAAAUGCCACUGACAGUAAAUAAUUCUCACAAAUUUGAUGCAAACGUGACUAGAGAUGUCAACUUGUCUGCAGACAUCAGUAAAUCGGUUCAUAUCUAGAUAAUUACUGUGACAUCUUGUAUUUGUGAAAUUUAAAUUAGUAAAUCCAAACAUACAACUCGUACACAGGUCAAGUGCUAAUUACCGUUUCGAACAAAUCAACAAGGCAAUAAACUCACAAUACUCAACGAACAGACAAUUUUUCAGCUGGCUUCACUUUCAUCAUUCCGAGCUGAAGACAACAAACGGCGCUGUUCCUUGAUGCAAUUCAUGUAAAUUGAAUCUAUAUCUGCAGACAGACCUCUGAUGCCAUCAUCGCAGUUGGCGUUGCUUUCAAAGCUGUAAGUACACAAUGACGCAAAGCCGUUUCGGUUUGGAAUUUUCUCGUGUCAGCACUUUUCUGGUAAACAAUUCCAGGACCGGCUAAAGUUAUGCAGCGAAAAUCUAUCUGGAGGGGAAACGGAGUGCAGUUUAAUGUGCAAAGCAUUUUUCAUCGACCAAAUUUCUUCUAGCAGAAGGCGGCAAUAUUGAACCCAAUUAAAAUCAUAACUAUGGUCAUUACGAACUGGCUGUGAUUAAAGUACAUAUAAACGGUUACGGGAGGGUAUCAAUUCCAGUUCCGAGGCCCGCCCCGAGCUACCGGUGUGUGUGUGUGAGCAGGUCCAAUUCAGUGCAGGCCUCAAAUUGCGCUGUUCGGAAACUAUCAUGUGCAACAUAAAACUUUACGAGCAGCUGCGGGAAAAAAUACUGUUCCAUUGCAUGAGGCUUAAACGCCUCAUUUCCGGAAACAACAACAAAAAAAGUUAUGAAAGUUGGCACAAAAGUCAAUUCGGUAGGAAGAAGGAAAACUCCGCACUUCGCUUUUUCUGCAAUUUCAAUCACGACAGGCUCUGCACGGAAACCCUACGAACGGUACAACGUUCAAAAUUUGCUGUUAGAUUUAACAAUAAUGUCCGAACUUCAAAUUGGACAAUUAUGAUUUCAACUAGCAUUUGAAGUCAUUUAAAAUUAGCAAAUUUGAACUCAAGCAUCACUCGUCAUUACUUGGCAAAUGGAUGCAAUUUUCUUAUCCCACCACCGGAAGUUUUGCAUGGGCAAAGGCCCAUGGUCACGGAAACCCAAUUACGGUUAUGCGAAAUUUCGUCUGACGUCAUUUUUUUAUCGAUUCACCACUCUCCACCACCUUAACAAUCGGAAAAAAGCACCUGCUUAGCAACACUGGUAUCGUGAGACACUUGGGAAUCGAUUUGCAACUCACGUGCAGCGUCAUAAAAUUGCCUCGUUCCGAUCGGUUCCGAUACCAAAUGCCGCCGCCGCCACCGCCGUAGCUUUCACUUUCCUUUCGGGUGAAGGUCUUGCUUUUACCCGUUGCUUCGAGGGUCUCAUUUUGCCUUGAAGCUUACCAUUCUGUAACUUUAGCAGGGUUUUGUUUUUUAUUUCUCUCGAGACUGCGAACUACAGAGAUCCAACGAUUAUGUCGCCGCCGAGAUCGUGUUGUGUGUCCGAGCAUACAUAUCCAUACACACUCACACUCUGAUGCUGACGAACAAGAUUGGCAAACGACGAAAGGUGACAGUCCGAUGGGAUGCCGUGGACAAUGGCACAUGAUCGGGGUAGGUCAUCGGAGGUAGGGGGUUAUUUUUUUUUCUUCUCGA